rnacentral:siRNA from 1 species
CCAUUUUACUUUGCCAAAUCCUG